GCCGGCCGGGCGCAGCUGCGCCUCGUCGGGAGCCGCGGGCGGGGCCCGCCCCAAAGCCUCUUAAGCUCCUCCGGAGGCUGCCGGGAGCCACGGGGGAGUUUCUGCGGUUCUGUAUGGGAGACGGAGUGAGUUCUGUUUCUUUGUCGGGCCCUGGUGCUGCUGAGGCUGAGAAGCGGCUGCUGUGAGCCCUUUUGCGGUAAGGACCAGCCCAAACAGGUCGCCGCCGGGCUCCCCCGGCUGUGCGGAGCCGAUACGGCGCCGCCGCCGCCGCCCGGCUGCCGUCGCGUUUUCGGAGGCGGCUGCCGCUCCGACCCCCGAGUCCUCGCACAGCCCCGGGGUGCUCUCAGCCCCCCUCACCCUCGGGAUUUCUUUCAGCGGGUGCUUCAGUUCUUCAGGCUCUCCUCGGCUGAGCGAGGGCUGUAGCAGAGCCUCUCAUCGGCCCGAAGCAGUGAGCUCGUGGAAGCGGGGAGUGUUUGAGAGUCGCUCGGUAAGAUCUCCCCUGCUGGGGCUCCUGUAGGGUUGCUGCCCGACUGCCUCCGUGUCUUUGGGAUCGGCACGGCGCCGCCGCUGGGGGCUCCCGCGUGGCUUUUUAGUAGGACCGGCACGGGGCCUCCGCCCGAGACCGAGCACGAUCCCGGGGUGGCCUCGGCCACUGCGGAGUGUUUUGCGGGUGCUCUCACCCAUCCCGUUUCCAGCGGUGGGAGCGAGCAGGUUGGGACCGUGGUUUUAUUUUUUUUUUUCCCCGCCUCUUCCUUCCCGUGUAACUGCAGGAGCACGAUUUAGGUUCCCACCGUGGAGACCUGGCAGGGCAGCUCGCACGACUGAAGUGCUGUCGUGGAUGGCUCUGUUCCUUUUAGGAAAGGCAGACCGGCCAGGCGGUGGAGUCUCUUUUCGAGGGAGAGAACGGGAACGUAUCGAGCUCCACCUAGGGAUGACUGAAGAACCAGCGGAGCGUUUGUGCGUGAGGCUGAAGAGGCAGGUGACGAAGGAGGCAUUGAGGAGAGGGGCUGCUGGAGCUCCCUAUUGCAGAAGAGCCAUCUGGGGACAGGAAGGCCAGGGGCAGCCUGGAGCGUGCCAGUCGUGAGACCGCAGCGUUUGGGAUCUUGUGUGGAAGCUGCAAAGCAAUGAGUAGGAUUGUAACACUGGACUUGGAGGGAGCCAGGUUUGUCCUCUUGAAGGGCCUACUUGGAGGUAACCCUUGCUCAAGCAUAGGAAGGGGUCCUGUGAAUGCUGGAGCAUUACUUCGUCCAUGCUGAGGUGCGCUGCGUCCCAAGGAGGAAGGAAGUGCGCAGGAAUGGUGGGGGACCUGCAGGGCUGACUGAGGAACUUGAAGGGGAGAAGGAAGAGAGAGGCUGAGGAAGGCCAAGUCCCUCUGAGUAUCAGCUUUGGGAGGGAGGUCAAGGCUAAUGGAAGUUUGUCAACAGGAGAGACUGGAGAAAUUGCAGGCCUGUGCUUCACAAGGCAAGGGCCUGAGUAAUGGAGGAUGGAGGACAUGCUGGAUGCCUGUUUUGGUUUCAGUGGUUUCUGCUGGGAGUGCUCCUGGGGUCCUGGAGGAGAGAGUCUCAGAGGAAGGCUGCCUUCCCCUCAGUUGCAGAGGAGCUGGUCAAAAGUGGUUCAGGCAGAAAGGAGGCCAGCAAAUGCCUGAGCUGUAGAGGGCUAUGCCUGUGCCCGCUGAGAGCUGGCAGCGGUGACCGGCAAAUGGCGCUCUCUGUCACUUUUCCCUGCUGUUUCCUGUGGGGAAAGGUACCUGAAGACUGGAGGAUGGCGGAUGCCACCGCAGCCUUCAGAAAGGGUGUGGAGGAUGGCGUGUGCAACUUGGAGGUAGGUUGGCCUCACCUCUGUUCCUGGGGAGGUGACGUAACAGCUUGUUGCAGGUGUCAUUGCCAUGUGACCGGAAGAGAAGGAAUUUGCAAGGAGCAGUCCAGGUGGAUGGACAGAGGGGAAGUCAUGCCGGACCAAAAGGGCGAGGGCUGCAGUGGAGAGCUUUGCCGAGAGGAUUGGCUGGAGCAGGUGUGCGGUUUCCCCAGCAGUGGGAUGAAGGAGGUGAGAGAGGGGGAGCCCCAGGUGGGAGCCCUCAUGGCGGAGGGCUGCCCCCAGGCGUGCCCCCUUGGAGGUGGUUUGUGGAGGUCUCUGUGCAGGUUCAGGCUGGAGGAAGGAUCCUGGUGGUGUGAGCAGGGUGCCUCUGUGGAGAGCAAGGGUGGAAGGUGCGUGGCAGGCCCUGUCCCGGAGGAGUGGAGUUGAUGGAGUGUGGCCCUUUGAUGCUGGAGUGAGGGGUCCUGGUGGGGCUGAAGUCCUGCGUGGAAGAGGGAGAUCCCAGGCGCUGCGAUGCGGAGGAGGAGCGGAGCCAGCGGGUGCUCUAGUGGCUCCUGUGUGGUGAUGGCUGCUUAGUGGUGGUGUUCCUGGUCCUGGGCUGAAAGGAGGAGGAGGAGAAAGCUUUUAGUGCCUUACUUCAAAGCUCAGGCUUGGAUGACCUUGCUGAGGCUGAACAAGAGUACAAAACCUGUGAGUUAAAUGGGUGGAACAAAACUACAGCUGCUGCACCUUACCGGGCCGAGAGUCGUGACCUGAUCUUCCAUCUUUUACACAAAACGAGUCAGAUCUUCAGCUUGCUGCCACGAGUAACUCACACAUUCUCCAAUUCCUCGUAUGGAAAGAAGGCUUUCUUCUAAGGGAUUAUUCCAAUGCGUAAAAUCGGUGAAUUCACCUGUACAGUAAUGAAAUACUUUCAAUAAUUUCAUGCAAAACUUUCUUUAAGCAGUGCCUUGGGCCAAUCUUUCCAUGUGAGAGCUGCAUGAGUAAAAGUUCUCCUUUCGGUCCAUUUCUGACUUAUUUUUUAUAAUUUAGUUUAAAAGUUCAAGUCAUCCAACCAAAGCUGUGACAACAGGAAUAACAGGCUCGUGGUAUAACAGCAGUAGGAUUUAGGCACCUGUGGAGGGAGAAACACUGAAGAUUUCACCGUGGGUUCAGGGUGGGCCAAACAUUAAAAUCCCUUUCUUGGUUUAAGAUCAGAAUGCACCUUUGUGGGAUUCAUUUCUUCCUUACAUCUCAGUAACCAAGUAUGCAUUGAGUGACCUACACCUUUAAGGGGGAAAAUGGUCUCAGUCAAGCGCUGGAUGAAUAUAAAUAGUAAUAAUAAAAGCCUAUCAGUAAGGAAAAGCUGAGCAUUCUUUUUGAAUGAAAACAUAAUAAUUAAUAAUAAUCAUAAUCAUAAUCUGUGGCACAGGACCCAAAGAGACCUUUUCCUCACAGUUUCACACAGCAGUUCUCUCAUCAGCUCUGAAACCAUCUACCUCUGCAACUCAGAAAGCUUUCUUUUUUUCUUUUCCUGAAAGUUCAAGGAUACGUUAUCCAUUUUCUGGGCAAGUUUAGAACUUUGGGUCUCACUUCUGCAUACACGGAAUCUUCUCUAAAGUCAGUAAGACAGAACAAAACCCGAGACCCUCUUUGGACUGCAAAUCCAGAAGCAUUCGACCCUGCGGUUCUGCCAAGCAGUGUGAAACACCGUAUUUGUAUCCGCCUCACGCAGCUCCCGCCCGAGUUUUUUCUCCGCGCUGAGCAUCAGUCUGCAGUCCUCGGUAAUUCCGGUAGAGGGCAAUACAAUAAAGCCAUUCAUAGAGGGCUCUCCGAGGCAGCUGCCGUAACUGGCUCCCACAGAACGCCUCAGGCUUUCUUCUUGUUCUGGAUUGGUGUGCUAAUGCCAAAUAUUUACAAUUGAAUCUUUUUUUGAUCCCGGGAACGCUCAUACUGCUUAUUUCUUCUUUGACAGCACAAACGCACGGGCGCGUUCUCAGUGCCUGAAAACAUCUCUAUGCAAAAAUCAAGAUAUAACUCUCUUUGCUACCACUUUUUUUUUUUUGUCUCAUCCUCAGCCAUCCGUUUGAAUGUAAACGUUACAGUAUACCUCACAUCCGUAAGGAGUCUUUACAUUCAGGUGUAGUUUUAAAAAGUCUCAUAGGAACCUCUUGCAGUCGAUUAAUGGGCACAUCGGAAGCAAAUCAACUGGAAGUACGGGAUGAGUGUUAUUUAAUUCUCCCUAGGGCUUUGCUAUUCACACACUCCUCUGUGCAGGUAGAUAUUCACGUGCGUAUGAAAGGAAAACUCACCUUCAAGGCGUAACAAAGGGAAACCCACACUGGGAUCAUUCGUAGGAAAGCAUCAUUUCACAGUACAUAGGUUUAUGGAUUGUGAGAGAUAGUGAUGCAUUUGUAAGGAUGAUCCCUACGAUAAGGUUCUGUGGUUUUAUUUUCUCAAGUCUAGACGCAUUUAGUCAAUAAUGAUUUCUUCAAAAGAUAGCCACAUCUCCAAGACAAGAACAGAACGGCCACGUGGCAGAUUUCACACAACCUCACAACAGUACCAUGAACUAUACGGGAGUUUCAUAAUUCAUGAAGGAACAAUAUUCCCUCCCGGGCACUAAAACUAGUCCAGAUAACACCAAGAACAGCUGAAAAGCCGGACAGUGUGAUUUCCCCUCUCCUCAAGUAUAGAGAGACACAAGUAUGAAACAGCUGGAAAACAUAUUCAAAGGAUGACAGGCACCACGUCACAGCAGAAGUGCCAGGUAAGCUCAGCGCAAAACAGUCCCUUUACUUCUUUCAUUCUUUCUUUCAUUUGUAACCAGAUUCAUGAGUGGAUGGAAAUGCUUGACAAAGUGAUAAUGAAUCUCUCUGAACGUUUACAUGGUUCCCAUCAGUGCAAAGACUCACCCAGUGCUAAAAGUAAUUCACUACAGUGUGUAAAAAAAAUAAACAAAUCAUUCUCCUUUUCA
ensembl:lncRNA